CUCCAGUGAAGAAUCGGCGACGGC
rnacentral:snRNA from 1 species